rnacentral:misc_RNA from 1 species
CCCAAUCUUACCCUAAACAACCCUUUUCUUCCUCAUUCAGUGGUUUUAGAUCUCCUACUCGACUGAAAACCCUAGUCACUGUCAAAUCGUUUCAUUUUCCGAAAAUGGCUUUAUUCUUUCGUCUUCGAAUUCACUUUCUGACCGGAAACAGGCGCUGCUUCUCCACAAUCCUCUCUCCGGGUUCCACCACCCCACUCUCCUCCAAGGAGAAAACCAGAGUCGCGCUUUCUCUUCUAAAAUCCGAACAAAACCCAGAAAGGAUCGUUGAAAUCUGCCGGCAAGCUUCUCUAACACCUGAAACUCACUUGGAUCGGAUCGCCUUCUCCGUUGCAAUCUCCAAGCUUUCUAAAUCCAACAAUUUCUCCUACAUCCAGCAGUUCCUCGACGAUCUCCGCUCGUCCCGCGCUGACCUUCGCUCCUCCGAACGAUUCGCGGCCCAUGCCGUUAUCCUAUUCGGCCAGGCGAACAUGAUUGACCACGCUAUCCGAACCUUCCAAGAGUAUCACGCUGAUGUUGUUGGUUCUGGUACUGGGUCCGUUAAGGCUCUAAAUGCUCUGCUGUUUGCUUGUAUUUUGGCUAAGAAUUAUGGGGAGGUGAAGAGAAUUUUUCUCGAGUUCCCUAAGUCUUAUAGUAUUGAACCGAAUUUGGAUACUUAUAAUAAGGUUAUCAAGGCAUUUUGUGAGUCUGGGAGUUCCAGUUCUGGUUAUUCCGUUUUAGCAGAGAUGGAUACGAAGCGGGUGAAGCCAAAUGCGACCACUUUUGGAAAUUUGCUUGCUGGGUUUUAUAGAGAGGAGAAGUUUAAAGAUGUAGGGGAAGUAUUGGAAAUGAUGAAGGAGAAAUAUGGAAUUCUCCCUGGGGUUAGUACUUAUAAUAUUAGGAUUCAAAGUUUGUGUAAGCUCAAGAGAUCUGCUGAGGCGAAAGCUUUAUUAGAUGAGAUGUUGUCUAGGAAAAUGAAGCCCAAUUGUGUUACUUAUAAUAAUUUGAUUCAUGGGUUUUGUUGCGAAGGGAAUUUAGAGGAAGCGAAGAGACUGUUUAACACUAUGAUUCAUAGAGGAGGAAAACCGGAUGCUGAUUGUUAUGUAAGGUUCGUCCACUACUUGUGUCAAGGUGGGGAUUUUGAUACAGCAUUGAGAAUUUGUAAGGAGAGCAUUGAGAAGCGAUGGGUUCCGAAUCUAGCGACUAUGAAGUCACUGGUGAACGGGCUUGCUGGUAUUGGUAAGGUGGCAGAGGCAAAGGAGCUUGUUGGGCAAAUGAAGCAGAGAUUUACGAAGAAUGUCAAUAUUUGGGAUGAGAUUGAAGCCAGUUUGCCGCAGUAGGGGAGGGGACAUUUAAACAUUGUUUUUAUUUUCUUGAUAAGACCAUGAAGUUAGAAGAUCAGGUAAGAUCCUAUGAGAUGACAUAUUUGCUAAUUAAGUGGAAAUAACAAUUUUUCAUUCAUUUACUGUAUUAUUAGACGUGUUCAUCAUUAAAUGAAAAUGGUGCUGAUUUUCAUUUUCUUGGAGUUGAUUACAUUAGACGUUUGAAGCUCAUCAAAAUUAUGGCGUUACAGUUGAAUUAUAGAAAAGAACCAGUGUUUCAAACUUGUUUCGCAGAGCUCUUUAUUUAUGAUGCUAGUAGUAAUAAAUUGCUAGGUCACCUACAAUUAGGUGCUUGCCCAAUUAGCUCGGAUAGUUCUUUAAGUUUUUGGCUUAUCGAGAUAUGUUAAUUUGAAUGUGCUGGUUCAUGGUAAAACCACUUGUUCUAUCAUGGUCUGUCUUUUGAGUUGUGCACCAUGUUCCAGUUUCUGAUCGACAAAUAAGUUUCGACUGCCAGUGGAUUACUGCUGCAUGCCAUUCAAUUUCAGGUUUUUGGCGAGCAAUGAAAUGGAAAUUGAUUGUCUUGAUUAGCUCAAAAUUAUGAAUGUGUUUCUCAAAUGUGCACAUCUUUUGUUUAGAAAUUUUCUCAAGAUUAGCAUGUAUCCUUGACUGGCAAGUUAGUAAUAUGCUGAACUAAGGAAAAUGAAAUCAUCGUCCGUACUAGAAGCUUUAGCUGAUAAUGUCUGGUCUUCAAUUCAUACAAAGGCAAAUAUCUUGUUGGGGCAUGAGCUGCAGUUGUUCGUUGAACAGGCACCUUUGGCAUUACACAUAAUUGGGCAAGCCACUUUCAUGUUUAUAAUGAUGACAUUAGGAGGUUGGAUCCUUGAAGAUUUUCCAUUUAAUUUCUUUGCAGUUCAUUUAACAGAAUUUUUUCAACAUCAUGAAUUCCUACUUUAAGCUGGUAUUUGGUUCCUGGAAGAGGUGAUCUAAGAGUUAAUUAUUUUGACAGGGAUGGAGCUGUUGCAUAAUGCCAAUGCAUUUCUCAUUAUCAUUGAGUUGAAACUACCAGGAUUAGAUAUCUGAGUGAAAUUGUGAAGAAAAAUAUUGAUUUUCAACCUAUUUUUCUCCAGAAGAUGCAAUCAUAGAAGUAAAUCCCUCUCCCAGGUCACUGGUGUUUGCCUAAAGGGUGUUAACUGAUCAGUUUUGGUCAAUGGAUUAUUGGCCAUAGGCUCCUGCCUUGGAUACAGGUUCAGCUACUCGUAGACCAACUCAUUGAUGUGUUCAUGGAUCCACUGGGCAUAGGUGAAAGCAUUGGAUGUUAAAUUCGUAUUGUUUAGUAUAUUUUGCCGAAGACUUCAUUACCAAUUACCAGUGACAUUCUCCUGCAUUCGCUAUGAAGUUAAGACGACCAUAAUCUAUUAAUCAACAACCAAACCAAUUGAUUGUACUGUGAUGCAAGCCCCAUUGUUGUCUUUAGAUUUCUCUCCUUAAUUGGAUAUAAAAGGCUAAUAGAACCAAGCAGCAAUAGCAAACUUACAGAUAAAACGUUU